rnacentral:rRNA from 1 species
AGCGGCAGGCGUUAACACAUGCAAGUCGAGGGGCAGCACGGGUAGCAAUACCUGGUGGCGACCGGCGCAAGGGUGCGUAACGCGUGAGCAACAAUGCCCUAUACAGGGGGAGUAAUCCAGGGAAACUUAGGUCUAAUAUCCCAUAGUAUUUAGAGGAGGCAUCUUCUAUAAAUUAAAGCUUCGGUGGUAUAGGAUUGGCUCGCGUGACAUUAGCUAGAUGGUGAGGUAACGGCUCACCAUGGCAAUGAUGUCUAGGGGUUCUGAGAGGAAGGCCCCCCACACUGGGACUGAGACACGGCCCAGACUCCUACGGGAGGCAGCAGUGAGGAAUAUUGGACAAUGGAUGGAAAUCUGAUCCAGCCAUGCCGCGUGCAGGAAGACAGCCCUAUGGGUUGUAAACUGCUUUUAUAUGGGAGCAAUAAGGUCUACGUGUAGACUGAUGAGAGUACCAUAUGAAUAAGCAUCGGCUAACUCCGUG